UAAAAAUUAGUUUAAAAAAAAUUCUAGUUUGUCAAAUUAGAGAUUUCAAAUUUGAUUGAGAUUUUUAU
rnacentral:tRNA from 1 species